UACGUAGGGGGCAAGCGUUGUCCGGAAUUAUUGGGCGUAAAGAGCGUGUAGGCGGCCAGAUAAGUCCGCUGUGAAAUCUUGAGGCUCAACUUCGAGCUGUCGGUGGAAACUAUCUGGCUAGAGUCCGGAAGAGGAGAAUGGAAUUCCUGGUGUAGCGGUGAAAUGCGCAGAUAUCAGGAAGAACACCCGUGGCGAAGGCGGUUCUCUGGGACGGUACUGACGCUGAGACGUGAAAGCGUGGGGAGCGAACAGG
rnacentral:rRNA from 1 species